rnacentral:rRNA from 1 species
CAGCACCUCAAGUGGUCAGGAUGAUUAUUGGGCCUAAAGCAUCCGUAGCCGGCUCUGUAAGUUUUCGGUUAAGUCUGUACGCUCAACGUACAGGCUGCCGGGAAUACUGCAGAGCUAGGGAGUGGGAGAGGUAGACGGUACUCGGUAGGAAGGGGUAAAAUCCUUUGAUCUAUUGAUGACCACCUGUGGCGAAGGCGGUCUACCAGAACACGUCCGACGGUGAGGGAUGAAAGCUGGGGGAGCAAACCGGAUUAGAUACCCGAGUAGUCC